rnacentral:tRNA from 1 species
GCUGGAGUGGCGGAAUGGUAUACGCGUCGGUCUCAAAAACCGAUGUUCUAACGGGCGUGUGGGUUCGAUUCCCACCUCCAGCA